ACUCAAGGUUUUUUUUUUCUGUGAUUUAUAAAAAGUUUUAACGAGUAUCUAUACAGCCUUCUGUCACGCCCAUCUAAUGCGCACGUCCCUGUCAUGUCUGAAUUGAAGUAAACUUCAGAAAUUUUGACAUGACAUAUGAAUACCUAACCUACCUAAUAUUUGAUGUUUUUGUUUGGGCCUGUUCAAUAUGUACUGCUACUGUUCUUGAAAUACAUCAUAACUAAUUAAAUAAACUUUAUUUUAGAUCCCGUAACUUAGUUAUUUAGUCACACAACGUGACUCUAUCACGUUGAUUAUGUACUACCUAGUUAGAUUGCUAGCCACUCUGUGAUGGUUUAUCCCUAGAGUGGGCUGUUUUUGUUGGAUAAUACACCAUACCGGAUUUUAUUACAACCAGCAUCUUCACCCAGGACCUUGCAGUAGGACUUACUCACCACAGCAGCCAACCGUUUUAUCGUGCCAAAAGGGAAUUUCCUACGGAAUUCAUCUCUAUGGACUUGCAACCCUACUUUUAACCGACUGUUGUGUAAAAGCUAAGUUUAUUUACUUUUUCAUUAUUUACUUUUGGGUAAGAUAUAUUUGCUACAUUGUAAACUUUUCGUAUGCAUACGAUUAGGAAGAGUACAUAUAUUUUCGUGAUAGAUAGGGUUUUAGGUUGUUGUUUUUUUUUUCUUUUUGAUUCAGUAUAAGUAGGAGUUAGUUAAAAUAAAUAAAAUCAGGUCUUGUUUAAUAAUCAUAAAUAAUUGUAUCUUAAAAUUUAAUAGGGAAUCGGGUUGUAAAAUUUUGUCGCGGAUUUUAAAUAGGGAAUACGUCUCGUAGGUUUUUUUUGUAAAAUAUAUAAAGAGUCACUGACCAACUCAUUUAUAUAGACCUUUUUGCUAUUCCAACGGACUUUUGAUUUGGAUUUUGAUUUUAAUACUUUUGCUUGGCCAGUGAUAGUGGAUAAUUGCUUGUUGAGUGGCCUUUGCGGUCCUAUUUUAUCUUUUCCCCAUCCACUAUCACUGUUAUUACGUUGCGUUAUAUGUAAAGUGUUAUUAUUUAAUAUUUAUUAUUAAUAUAUUUGUAUGUAUUAAGGUUGGUGUUUUAUUUCAGUCUGUAUUACCAGUAUAUAACAUAGCAAGACAAGAUCAGUAUUUAGUAUUUUGUAUUUCAGGUGGUUGUAACCAGUGUCAUAGAGUUCCCAUUGUUCGUUACUUCAAAAUCUCGAACCUGUCCAACUUCUUGGUUCUGAGAGCCGAGUUGUUCGUUCGAGUUGGCGCCCUUUUUUCUUCUUCUUUCUUUGUUGUAACUCGAUAUUAUUUUAUCUCUAGCAUUCUUAUCUAUUUUCCUUCCAUUUUUGUAUUAACAGUCUCAUUUCCUUCCUAGUUACUAUCAUUUCAUUACCAAAUUUUCUUCUCAUAUCUCUAAAGCCAAUAUUCGGUGUAUGGAAGCUAGCCCGAAUACUCAUACUUGAGAUUUAGUGUCUCUCUGCCCUUUUGAUUUUUUUUUCCUUCUGAGCUAAGCCCCUCUUCUUUUGUCUUAAAUCUCUUAUCAUUUAUUUUACCCAUCUUUAUUCAGUUCUUCUCUUCAAAAAUCUCUAUACCCAGAGUAUAGAGGGUUCAAUUGAUUUUUAGUUGUUGCUGAUAUCCAGAACCAUAUCAUUAUUUAUGUUUAGCUUUGUAGUAAUGUAGUUUCAACUAGUCUUGAUGAAUUAGUCCCUCAUUGAAUUCUCGGGUGAUUAGUAGAAUUUGUUCGCUCUAGUAUCAAUGUUGGGUAAAUUUGAUAGGUUGAUUGUUGUGUAUGGUUCUUGGUUAUACUGUGUUAGGUGUUGUUAAUACACACCUGUAAUUUAGAUUUAAUGAUGGGUUACUAACACUCGAGAAUGCAGAUGGUAGGUAGUGUUAGGAGUUGACUUACUCUAUAAGGUUGUAUAAUUAUAUUUAGAAUGUAAGUGAUUAACGUGUAAUUAUUUGUUUUUCUCUAUCUUUAUUUUUACUAAAUUAAAGUAAAUUAUCUUGUUGAAUUAUCUAUGUCGGUCAGUUACACAUCCCUUCUAUGUUCUAUACUUUCUGCAAAUAUGAUUAAAUAUAUCUCGCGUGGCCUCUAUACUAUGUAUGACUUCGUUCCUGAUUUUUGUUCCGUCCUCUCAGCAAAUAGUAUGACUGUUGAGCCUACCAUCAUUAUGUUUUUAUCCCACAACGUUACUCCUUUACCGUGUCCACCCUCAGGUUCGCCCUAGCGUCAGUUAGUUCUGGAAAAUAAAAAAAAAAGAGGAAACUUGUGGAGUUUUCCUUUUUUUUUGCUGGAGAUAAGGGAGAAUGUAGCAGUUAUGCUACGGACCAUUUAAAAUUAAUUACGAUUUUCGAUUCAUUCAAUUAUAUUUCAUUAAAAAUACCCCUCUAGAAAAUUCUUUGGAGACGCCUAUUUAAUCGCCUAGGUGCCUAUUUUCGCAGCGAAGCAAGAGGAAAGCACCGCGCAUGUUUCUAUCGGAUCGAUACGAAUCGAUUUCCGAUAACAUUGAACAGCAGUUGGUCAGGAAACGGCUCGAAGGGCGGAUGGCGCGCCGCUAGUAAGGUUAUUCCCACUUUUAAGUGACGGGAUUGAAACAAAUUUUCGAUGGAAAUCAAAUAAUUAGAAGGAAAUCAAGCGUCAGCUAAUCCCAUCUACAAAACUAGAUAACCAAAGUUAAACAUCUCUUUGGACUUCUUCACAUAACAGAAGUGGAUAUUCCGGCGUGCCUGCCUUGUUUCAAUCCCGUAACUUAGUUAUUUAGUCACACAACGUGACUCUAUCACGUUGAUUAUGUACUACCUAGUUAGAUUGCUAGCCACUCUGUGAUGGUUUAUCCCUAGAGUGGGCUGUUUUUGUUGGAUAAUACACCAUACCGGAUUUUAUUACAACCAGCAUCUUCACCCAGGACCUUGCAGUAGGACUUACUCACCACAGCAGCCAACCGUUUUAUCGUGCCAAAAGGGAAUUUCCUACGGAAUUCAUCUCUAUGGACUUGCAACCCUACUUUUAACCGACUGUUGUGUAAAAGCUAAGUUUAUUUACUUUUUCAUUAUUUACUUUUGGGUAAGAUAUAUUUGCUACAUUGUAAACUUUUCGUAUGCAUACGAUUAGGAAGAGUACAUAUAUUUUCGUGAUAGAUAGGGUUUUAGGUUGUUGUUUUUUUUUCUUUUUGAUUCAGUAUAAGUAGGAGUUAGUUAAAAUAAAUAAAAUCAGGUCUUGUUUAAUAAUCAUAAAUAAUUGUAUCUUAAAAUUUAAUAGGGAAUCGGGUUGUAAAAUUUUGUCGCGGAUUUUAAAUAGGGAAUACGUCUCGUAGGUUUUUUUUGUAAAAUAUAUAAAGAGUCACUGACCAACUCAUUUAUAUAGACCUUUUUGCUAUUCCAACGGACUUUUGAUUUGGAUUUUGAUUUUAAUACUUUUGCUUGGCCAGUGAUAGUGGAUAAUUGCUUGUUGAGAGGCCUUUGCGGUCCUAUUUUAUCUUUUCCCCAUCCACUAUCACUGUUAUUACGUUGCGUUAUAUGUAAAGUGUUAUUAUUUAAUAUUUAUUAUUAAUAUAUUUGUAUGUAUUAA
rnacentral:lncRNA from 1 species